UUUUUCCAGAGAGAUGGCGCGUCGGUCAUGAAGAUAGGGAAAAAUCAGGCCGCGAAGUUGUUUUCAAGGCGGGGCUUUGUGCGUCGCCUGGCAACGGACUGGUUUUUCCACAGGCCGUGUGAGGCUGUAAACAUGGUCUCACUACAUAUGUAUUAAGGUAACACCUAUUGCACCUCAAACAGCGUUGCCAAACUAUAUCAAUUUUCCAUUUAUUUUAUUUAUUUAUUUUUUUUCCCCCUUAUUUUUUCAACUUGAUGUCGGUCGUCGGGGCGAACCCUACCGUCUUUCAUGCCGACACAGAAAGGGGGUAGGGCAGAGUCAUAGAACCCUAUUUAUUUUAUGACAUAUAUAUGGGUUCUAUACUUCUAUUUCUAUGACUCUGGGUAGGGUUCGCCCCGACGACAUGAGAGCGAUAUUUUGAAAUCGUGAAUUUUGUGCCACUGACGGGCUGAGUGUGUGCUUGUGUGCGUGUGUGGUGUUUGUUUACAAAAAUACAAACGCAGCUACCUGUCGGUUUUAGAUUUUUUCAUUAGAAAACUCAGUGUCAAAGAGAAUAUGAACUCAAGUCAGUUACCAUGGCAAGUGGAAAUAGUGAAGAUGCUAAAAUUGGCUCGGAUUAUGGGCAGUAUUGCUUGGAAAAUAUUCCUGCUGCUCAAGCAAAUCAAUUUGAAUUUGGAAAAGGAUAUGAUGUAUUCUUUUUUCAAGAUAUCAGGGAAAAAUAUCAAGGAAGAAAGAACAACAAUUGAAGGAGAACUCAACAUCCAACCCUUGUUCAAGGCGUUCCAAGAUAUCCCACCCGCCCAGCACUUUGGUUGGAUUUCAAGAAGCGCAAAGGGACCUGCAGCUCGAGGCGUACUUCUAUACAUGAUAUAAAAACAAAAAUAGCUAUAGAAGAUGGCAUGGAUCAUUUUACACUGUCAGCGUCCAAAAACACAAAGGAGUGGUCUACUGAUGUUGGUGGGUAUGGAAACCUUGCCAAUGAAUUCAUGCAAACUCCAGAGUGCCAUGCUGCAGUAGAUACAUGGACUAGCAUCGUAAGAAAACACCAAUUGGCGAGAGAGAAAGAUCCAGAAUGGAUUGCCCACCACAAGGAAAGCGAGAUCUAACGCAAAAAAAACGCGUGGAAACAAUGUAUGGCAAAAUUUUAGGUCGUUCGACUUCAAUACGGACGGAGGCCGCAACUGCAAUUGCCAGUCAUCAAAAUAAUGGAUUCGAAAUGAUCAGAGACUUAGAUGGAGAUGUGGCCCGAUUUAGUACCCCUUCUCCUAACGAACAUGAUGUAUUGCUAGAAAGUCGUGAUCCUGGUCAUCAACAAGUAUUGCCUGAUGUUCAUGAAGAAAAUGGAUCGCAUCCAGAAACUUGGCCUAAAAAUUUUCAAUCCGCUGGAACUGAUAUUCUUGAUUCAGGGAGUGAGCAGUCUGUUUCAAAUAUUACUACGCGACCGAUGGCAACUUGUGUAGCUAUCUAUGGGUGUGAUUCAUCGAGACCGAAUUUCAGUAGGCCAAGUGGUGAGCUAGUUGGACCAACUACCACCACAGUUCCAAAUGCUUCAGGAAGCGAUGGUUACGCUUCUGCUCGCGGCAAUGUUCCACGAAAUUAACCCGCUCCAAUGCUGAUACCUACUUUAUCAUCGACCUCGUCUGAUUCUACCCAAAUUCCUUCCGCUUCUGCCAAGCCUGGGAGAUGCCCUCCAAGUGGCCGUGGUGUCACUGGCGCAAAAGGACGCAAUGGCUCGAAAAUCCUUGGUAGUUCUGCGGAGCGCCCAAUUGUGCACCCGUUAAGUGCCUACUGCUACCAGUCGACGUACCAGGCCCUGAAACCUAAUUCCAACCCACCAGAAUAUUACUUCAUAACAAGAGGAACGUUUCCACCCCAGUGAGCACGAACCAUAGGACUUCCGGAAGCGCCUCGCAUGGCUAAGUUUUAGAGGCGGUUUUACUGCAAAGCAUGUAACUUACCCGUUUGCUCACCAAAGUGUUCAAAGAAUUUCUUUUACGGUGUGACAUGAUUUUAGUUUUUUCUUACCAAUCAAGAUUUCAAACCAACCCAACAGUUGCAAGCUGAAGCUGUUUAUAUGUGAAUGUUGUACUUCUGUACUUUUUUAUAACUGCCAGAGCAAAGAAAAAGCUUUGUUUUAAUGUAAACAAGACACUAAGCAAGUUUUAACGUCACCAUUCUCUUGCCCUAUGUUUACGCUGUCGUCCGUCCAGCGGCGAAGUAAAAGGUAGAAGACCACAAUGCAUUCAAGAAGAUUUUAUGUAAAGAUACCGGCUGUCUGUUCAUACAAAUCGGAAGAAAAUUAAACAAAGAUAACACACUAAGCCCAGACAAGAAGAAAAAAAUGUACACUGGCGCUUGCUUUUGCGAAGGACUCGCCGGGCAGUGACGGGAUUAAUGAUGAACAUGUCUUAAGGGUGAUGACGAAGCCAUGGUAGAUUUUAAACCAACCAGUACAACCAGAAAGAAAG